CCUACGGGGGGCUGCAGUGGGGAAUAUUGCGCAAUGGGCGAAAGCCUGACGCAGCGACGCCGCGUGAGGGAUGAAGGUCUUCGGAUCGUAAACCUCUGUCAGCAGGGAAGAACGGUCACUGUGCUAAUCAGCAGUGAAUUGACGGUACCUGCAAAGGAAGCACCGGCUAACUCCGUGCCAGCAGCCGCGGUGAUACGGAGGGUGCGAGCGUUAAUCGGAAUUACUGGGCGUAAAGCGCUCGUAGGCGGUAUGUCAAGUCAAGGGGUAAAUCCCCGGGCUCAACGUGGGAACUGCCUUUGAUACUGGCAAACUGGAGUGGGUGAGAGGAGAGUGGAAUUCCAGGUGUAGGGGUGAAAUCCGUAGAUAUAUGGAGGAACACCAGAGGCGAAGGCGACUAUCUGGCACAUAACUGACGCUGAGGAGCGAAAGCGUGGGUAGCAAACAGGAUUAGAUACCCUUGUAGUC
rnacentral:rRNA from 1 species